UGCAGAUUUAAAAAAACAGCUCAUGCUUAAAUGUGUUUUUGAGCAAGUGACUUCUUAAUACUAUGGCAGGAAUAAAAAAAAAACUGUUAUAAAAUUAAAAAGGAAGUUUAGUUACAUGUAUAAACUCACAGUCACAAGUGUUAACACCUGGCGCCGUGACCUGGAUGCAGAUUCUAAGCAGAUGGGCCAAAAUGGGGGCAGCUAGAGAGACUUGCCUAGAACUGACAAGCCUGGAGGGAGCUGGUUGACUGUUGGCGAGAUGGGACAACAGACGAAGAAUAAACGAACCUACUUGAUUUGAUAAACAUUUUUAUGUUUUUGCAGUUUCGUCGGAAGACGUUUCCCACCAACCAUCCUGUCUUGAAAGAAAUAACUUUUGAACCUGAUUAUCUGAUAUUUUCCAGUUUCCCCUCACAACAAUUUGCAUCAAACCUCUUGUCUGCUCCUCAGCUGAAAUCAUCAUCUAGCAGUCACAAUAGUUGAGCGGUUGGAGAGGCAUGCAUUGCGUCCUACUACUGCUCAGACUAUAUCAUGUUUGGCAGACAAAACAUGCUGAUCAAAAAGAAUGUGUACCACAGGGGCCAGUGUUUCCAUUUGAGUGAUUGACAAGAAGAAGAAGAGAUGAGAAAUGUUAUCAUCAUAUUUUAGUCCCUACAUUUAUAGUGUACAGCUCAAUGUAUUGAACUGGUGUUGUAGAAUAUAAUUGGAGAUACAUGCGAACAUUAUAACAUUAUAUAUAAGAUGAUAUUUCAAAAGCAAUAAGAAAUAAAAAGUAUAAAAAGGUCAAAACAGUAAACCUUGUGUUUACAGUGGACAGGUUUAAAGUGGAAGUGACUAGUUAACUGUUGAUCAUAAGCUGCACUGAUGGAAAAAAUAGUGGGAAAUUACUAUCUAGAAAACUGUUUAACGUACGACAACAGUUGUGGAACUUUAUAAAUGACCGUAUGUAACAGGGCUGGGCAGUUUUCCUUAUAUAG